rnacentral:rRNA from 1 species
UACGUAGGGUGCAAACGUUGUUCGGAAUCACUGGGCAUAAAGAGCGCGUAGGCGGUCUGAUAAGUCCUGUGUGAAAGCCCCCGGCUCAACCGGGGAAUUGCACAGGAUACUGUCGGGCUAGAGUACAGGAGGGGAGAGCGGAAUUCCUGGUGGAGCGGUGAAAUGCGCAGAUAUCAGGAGGAACACCGGUGGCGAAGGCGGAUCUCUGGGCCUGUCCUGACGCUGAGGCGCGAAAGCUAGGGGAGCGAACAGG